rnacentral:rRNA from 1 species
ACCCGCUGAACUUAAGCAUAUCAAUAAGCGGAGGAAAAGAAACCAACAGGGAUUGCCUCAGUAACGGCGAGUGAAGCGGCAAAAGCUCAAAUUUGAAAUCUGGCUCUUUCAGGGUCCGAGUUGUAAUUUGUAGAAGAUGCUUCGGGUGUGGUCCCGGUCUAAGUUCCUUGGAACAGGACGUCAUAGAGGGUGAGAAUCCCGUAUGUGACUGGGUACCUACGCUCAUGUGAAGCUCUUUCGACGAGUCGAGUUGUUUGGGAAUGCAGCUCAAAAUGGGUGGUAAAUUUCAUCUAAAGCUAAAUAUUGGCCAGAGACCGAUAGCGCACAAGUAGAGUGAUCGAAAGAUGAAAAGCACUUUGGAAAGAGAGUUAAACAGUACGUGAAAUUGUUGAAAGGGAAGCGCUUGCAAUCAGACUUGCGCCUAGUUGAUCAUCCGGGCUUCUGCCCGGUGCACUCGAUUAGGCUCAGGCCAGCAUCGGUUUGGGUGGUUGGAUAAAGGCUUGGGGAACGUAGCCUCCUUCGGGGGGUGUUAUAGCCCCAGGUGCAAUGCAGCCUACCUGGACCGAGGACCGCGCUUCGGCUAGGAUGCUGGCGUAAUGGUUGU